UAACUAGUAUUGUAUUAGAAGUCUUAAAAUGGGUUGCCUUAAAUUAAUCAAUAGCAUUAAAAUAAACAAGAUAUUUUGAAUAUUUUCUCAUUGCAGUAGUUUUUGUUUCAGCUCUGAAGAACAGCUGCUGUCGAGCAUUAUAGAUCUUUGCAGGCAAAAGAUAUGCUAUGUUAUUCAGAGUAUAGAGAAUGGACGUACUCUAAACAGUACAACAGAACUACAAUAUGUUUUAACAGACUUGUUACAGUUGUCCCGAUUUGUUUGUGUUGAUAACUGUAUACGGUUUGUUGAUGAAGCACUUCAGAUCUUGGUCCAGUUACAGCCUGAAAACAGCAUUACUGAAAUAGAAAUGUUGGUAAAACAAGGAAGAAAAUAUGAUAUUCCAUUUCAAAUGCUACAGUGUCUAAUAAACUCUGGACUGAAAGUUAGAGACAUUUCAGAGUUGCUGAAUGUAAGUAAGAGAACAGUUGAAAGAAGAAUGGAAGAGUAUAAUCUAUCAGUCCGUCAGACUUAUAGCAACUUGUCUGAUGAGGAAAUAAAGCUGGAAGUUCAACAGCUCUCUGCCAGUUUUCCAAAUGUUGGAUAUAGAACUAUUCAAAGUCUUCUUCUUUCAAAAGGUUUGAAAAUACAGGAACAUGAAGUACGACAUGCUCUAAGAGAGUGUGAUCCUUGUGGAGUGCUCUUUCGCAGAGUAUUUCUGACAUCUUCUAGAAUACAGAGAAGAACAUACUCAGUUAGUGGUCCUCAAGCACUGUGGCAUAUUGAGUUACUGGUACUCUUGAAUGAUGUGUAAUAAAUUGUCUAUGUAUGCAUUCGGUAAGGAACUCUUACCAUAGGUAAACCUGUAUGAACAAACAACAAUUACCCUGUUAUACACACUUAUUGCAGAAGUACAUGUAUCACUCCAAACAUAUGUAAGGAACAAAACAAUUAUUAAAAUAAUUAUUUCAACAAACUCCUGGCAAGAAAGGCUGAAAAGGGUAGUGUUUAGGUAUUAAACUAAAAAUGGACUUGUUUUUCAGAUGGCACCUAGUUAUUCAUGGAGGGGUGGAUGGCUUCUCAAGGUUCCCUGUAUUUUUGAAGGUCAGCAAUAAUAAUAGUGCACAAACUGUCCUAUGUGCCUUUUUAGAGGCUGUUAACAAGUUUGGAAAGCCAGCUAGGGUCAGGUCUGACAAAGGUGGUGAAAAUGUCUUAGUGGCAGAGUACAUGCUUCAGCAUCAACAAUCAGUUGAUAGACCAUUCAUUGCAGGGAGAUCUGUACAUAAUCAAAGAAUUGAACGGUUAUGGAGGGAAGUGUGGGCUAGUGUUACAAGUUUGUACUACACAUUAUUCUACAGCAUGGAAAACAACAGUAUUCUGGAUCCGACAAAAUGAAACACAUUUAAUGUUGCUACACCUUGUGUUUCUUUAUAGAAUACAAGAGAUUUACUGAAGCACUGAGGCGGCGUCCACUUAAAACAGAGAACAACAGAACUCCUUUGCAACUUUGGUUGACCAGUAAUCAUGCAACGAGUAUGGAUCAGGACAGUACAAAUGAUUAUCGUAUUGACUACAACCCAGGGGCGUUAAUAACUCAUCCAGAAUCAGUAGUUGUUCCAGACAGCAUGGAAAUCACAGAAAAUCAAAAACAACAGUUACAACAUAUACUUCAGAAAGACUCGAACAAUUUUGGUGUUGAUAUCUACCAAGAAAUAUUGAAAUAUUGGACUAUCAAUAACUUAUAACUAUAUUUUAGAAAAAAGGUGCAAGGAAAAUACAAAAAGUGAAGAAAACUACUUUUUUGCAUUUUUAGUCCACCAUCUACAAUGUACCAGAUGGUGGGUUAGUCAAAUCGCUUUUCAUCCGUGGUCCAUGCGUCCGUCACUCCGUCCUUCCGUUAACAAUUCUUGUUAUUGCAUCUCCUCUGAAUCCACCAUGUGGAUUUUGACAAAACUUGGCCUAAAUGAUCCCCCUGUGCCUUAGUUGGUCCUAACUGAGAAUGAGGUCACUAGGUCAAAGUUCAAGGUCACAGUGACCUUCAACUUUGCACCUACUUUGAAACUACUGAGUGGAUUUCAAUGAAACUUGGUCACAAUGAUCCUUACUCAAAAUGAGAUCAGUAGCUCAAAGGUCAAGGUCACAGUGACCUUCAGUUAAAUUUUUGGAAAAAUUGUUAUCACAUCUCCUCUGAAACAAAUGGGUGGAUUUUAAUCAAACUUAGCCAAAAUGAUCCCCCAUUUCCCUAGUUGGUCUUAACUGAAAAUGAGGUCACUAUGUUAAAGGUCAAGGUCACAGUGACCCUUAACUUAAAUUUUUGAUAAAAUUUUGUUAUCGCAUCUCCUAUGAAACUACUGAGUGAAUUUUGAUGAAACUGUGCCACAAUGAUCCCCAGUGCCCUAUUUGGUCCUAACUGAGACUGAGGUCACUAGGUCAAAGGUCAAGGUCACCAAAAUUAUUAUUUCACUUAGAACAGUGAAAGUUCUUAGGUUUGUUGGUCAUGAUGUUUAGUUGACCACUUUCUGUAUUUAGGUCAAAGGUCAAGGGCACAGUGAUCUGAAAUUUAACCCUUACCCUGCUAAAUUUAUAUAAUGAACUUGUCCGUUUUUCAGUUUGGACAGUACCAUUAAAUGUUAAAAGGGGUGCAUACCAAAAGGAUACUGACUGAAUGACGAACAGUGCAGUUCAUGAUCAGACUGCACAGAUGUGCAGGCUGAUCAUGAUCUACACUGGUCGCAAAGGCAGAAUCAACCGUGUCCAGCAUGAUAAGGGUUAAAAUCAGUUUCUGCUAGAAACUCAUGAACUGUUUCACCUAGAAAUCAAAUAUAUUGGUCAUAAUGUAAAGAUGACUUUUGUCAAUAUUUCGGUAUCUCGGUCACAGUGACCUGAAAUUUAAAAUCAGUUUCUGCUCAAUAAAUGGUGAACUAUAUCUUGACCUAAACUUUUGAAUUAAUUUUUGUUCAUAGGCACUUUCAAUAAAAAAUAUGUUCAACAGGGUCUGAGAAUUAAAUAAAACAUUUAUGUAUUUUUGUGGAAAUAAAGUGACAAUUAAAAUA